rnacentral:rRNA from 1 species
UACGUAGGGUGCGAGCGUUAAUCGGAAUUACUGGGCGUAAAGAGCUCGUAGGUGGUCUAUCACGUCGGAUGUGAAACCCUGAGGCUCAACCUCAGGCCUGCAUUCGAUACGGGCAGACUAGAGUGUGGUAGGGGAGACUGGAAUUCCUGGUGUAGCGGUGAAAUGCGCAGAUAUCAGGAGGAACACCGGUGGCGAAGGCGGGUCUCUGGGCCAUUACUGACACUGAGGAGCGAAAGCGUGGGGAGCAAACAGG